GGACCUGACUGCUAUCGGAUUAAUACUAAGCCAUGCGAGUCUUUGCAGUAAUGCAAGGCAUACGGCUCAGUAACACGUAGUCAACCUACCCUAUGGACGAGGAUAAUCUCGGGAAACUGAGCAUAAUACUCGAUAGACCAUAAUGCCUGGAAUGGUUUAUGGUUAAAAUGAUUCAUCGCCAUAGGAUGGGACUGCGGCCUAUCAGCUUGUUGGUGAGGUAAUGGCCCACCAAGGCGAUUACAGGUACGGGCUCUGAGAGGAGAAGCCCGGAGAUGGGUACUGAAACAAGGACCCAGGCCCUAUGGGGCGCAGCAGGCGAGAAAACUUUGCAAUGUGCGAAAGCACGACAAGGUUAGUCCGAGUGAUUUCUGCUAAAGAGAUCUUUUGCAAGUUCUAAAACCACUAGUGAAUAAGGGGUGGGCAAGUUCUGGUGU
rnacentral:rRNA from 1 species